rnacentral:rRNA from 1 species
CCUACGGGAGGCAGCAGUGAGGAAUAUUGGUCAAUGGACGAGAGUCUGAACCAGCCAAGUAGCGUGAAGGAUGACUGCCCUAUGGGUUGUAAACUUCUUUUAUAUGGGAAUAAAAUGUUCCACGUGUGGGAUUUUGUAUGUACCAUAUGAAUAAGGAUCGGCUAACUCCGUGCCAGCAGCCGCGGUAAUACGGAGGAUCCGAGCGUUAUCCGGAUUUAUUGGGUUUAAAGGGAGCGUAGGUGGAUUGUUAAGUCAGUUGUGAAAGUUUGCGGCUCAACCGUAAAAUUGCAGUUGAAACUUGCAGUCUUGAGUACAGUAGAGGUGGGCGGAAUUCGUGGUGUAGCGGUGAAAUGCUUAGAUAUCACGAAGAACUCCGAUUGCGAAGGCAGUUCACUGGACUGCAACUGACACUGAGGCUCGAAAGUGUGGGUAUCAAACAGGAUUAGAUACCCCAGUAGUC